GACGAACGCUGGCGGCGUGCUUAACACAUGCAAGUCGGACGGAAAGUGCUCUUCGGAGUGACUCGAGUGGCGAACGGGUGAGUAACACGUGGGUGAUCUGCCCUGCACUUUGGGAUAAGCCUGGGAAACUGGGUCUAAUACCGAAUAGGACUCCGGAUCGCAUGGUCUGGGGUGGAAAGCUUUUGCGGUGUGGGAUGGGCCCGCGGCCUAUCAGCUUGUUGGUGGGGUGAUGGCCUACCAAGGCGACGACGGGUAGCCGGCCUGAGAGGGUGUCCGGCCACACUGGGACUGAAAUACGGCCCAGACUCCUACGGGAGGCAGCAGUGGGGAAUAUUGCACAAUGGGCGCAAGCCUGAUGCAGCGACGCCGCGUGAGGGAUGACGGCCUUCGGGUUGUAAACCUCUUUCACCAGGGACGAAGCGUAAGUGACGGUACCUGGAGAAGAAGCACCGGCCAACUACGUGCCAGCCGCCGCCGUAA
rnacentral:rRNA from 1 species